rnacentral:tRNA from 1 species
GUCCCUUUAGCUCAGUGGAUUAGAGUGUCUGCCUCCGGAGCAGAAGGCCGCAGGUUCGAAUCCUGUAAGGGACACCA